UACAGAGGUCUCAAGCGUGGUUCGGAUUCAUUGGGCGUAAAGGGUGCGUAGGCGGCGCGGUAAGUCGGGUGUGAAAUCUCGGAGCUUAACUCCGAAACUGCAUUCGAUACUGCCGUGCUUGAGGACUGGAGAGGAGACUGGAAUUUACGGUGUAGCGGUGAAAUGCGUAGAUAUCGUAAGGAAGACCAGUGGCGAAGGCGGGUCUCUGGACAGUUCCUGACGCUGAGGCACGAAGGUCAGGGGAGCAAACGGG
rnacentral:rRNA from 1 species